GACGAACGCUGGCGGCGUGCUUAACACAUGCAAGUCGAACGGAAAGGCCCUUCGGUGUACUCGUGUGGCGAACGGGAGCGUAACACGUGGAUGAUCUGCCCUGCACUUUGGGAUAAGCCUGGGUUACUGGGACUAAUACCGAAUAGGACUACGAGCUUCAUGUUGUGUGGUGGAAAGCGUUUGCGGUGUGGGAUGGGCCCGCGGCCUAUCAGCUUGUUGGUGGGGUAAUGGCCUACCAAGGCGACGACGGGUAGCCGGCCUGAGAGGGUGACCGGCCACACUGGGACUGAGAUACGGCCCAGACUCCUACGGGAGGCAGCAGUGGGGAAUAUUGCACAAUGGGCGCAAGCCUGAUGCAGCGACGCCGCGUGAGGGAUGACGGCCUUCGGGUUGUAAACCGCUUUCAAUAGGGACGAAGCGCAAGUGACGGUACCUAGAGAAGAAGCACCGGCCAACUACGUG
rnacentral:rRNA from 1 species